rnacentral:rRNA from 1 species
UACGUAGGGUGCAAGCGUUAAUCGGAAUUACUGGGCGUAAAGCGUGCGCAGGCGGUUUGUUAAGUCUGUUGUGAAAUCCCCGGGCUCAACCUGGGAAUUGCGAUGGAGACUGCAAGGCUAGAAUCUGGCAGAGGGGGGUAGAAUUCCACGUGUAGCAGUGAAAUGCGUAGAGAUGUGGAGGAACACCGAUGGCGAAGGCAGCCCCCUGGGUCAAGACUGACGCUCAGGCACGAAAGCGUGGGGAGCAAACAGG